GUCCAUUGCUUAUAUCGUUAACAAAUUUGUUUUGACAUUUUUGAAAAGUAGAGUAGAAAUAUAUAAUUUUAAUUGUGAUGUUUCUUAGGAAUUUUAAGUCUAUGGAAACCCCCCAAAAAUUAUUUAUCUAUUGAAAAUGAUCAUUAACAGUCAUGGGUUUGUUGUUUAUUAACUACCGCUUAUAUCCAUGGUGCAACAAUAUGGCGUAUUGAUUGUAGUCAUUCAAUAUGUGCAUAUCUGUUUAUAAAAUUUUGUAAGGAAAUUUAAAAGGUUCACUUGGAUUAGCCAAGCACCAAUUAGCACCCUGGACAGCACAGGUAAACUAUAGAACUUAUGGAGGCCACUGGUGUUUUUCACACCUCCAGUAGAUAAUUUCCCACCUGGCCAGAAGGUCAGUCAUUAUUCACACCUGGCUGGUCUUAAUCACCCCUCUGGCCAAAAUUUUCUAGUCUUCAAAUAGUGGCUGGUAUUAUAAGGGUAAAUUACACAUGUUUGUUAACAAUUGUACUUUAAAAAGUGGCUGAUGUCCGGUUUUCAGGGGUGGCCGGUUUUGUGAGACUUUCUUUGUAAGGAAAUGUUAAGGUUUCUGCCGGGACUUUGAAAAUCGGCCGAUAUUCAGGGAGAACCGGUUUUCUGAGGGGCCGGUUUGGAGAAAUUUCACUGUAUAUAUAUAUAUUUGCCAUUUUUAUUCUUUGAGACGAGAAAAAAUUUGUUUUGAUUUAUAUAUAUAUAUAUUUUGGCUCAUUUUGGCCUUUUGACCUACUAAGGCUUUAAUUCUGAUGGUACCAAAAUUUGAUCUUCUGACCUUGACAUGAAUUUUUACCUACUUGUCUGAAAAGCGUUAAGUUUGGGGGCAUCCAUGGUUCACUUUCAUGUCUUGUUGCUGUUCAGACUGUGGACAGAUGUUGCUGUUAUGAAUGAUUAUCUAGCACAACCAUUUAAUGCAAAGUUAGAUAAGUUCAAAUAUUUUCAUUGCAAUCUUGGUAUUGUAUUGUGUGUGUUAAUCAUUUAUGAUGAAAAUGUUUUUUUGAUUUCUUCAUUUAUGCACUUUUUUUUUUUUUUAUACAUGUAUUUGUUUGAUUUUAAUUGAAUUAAUAAUUAGGAACAAUAUCUAAGAGAAUAUAAUAUAUAAGGAUAUUUAAUUUAGAAGGUUAAAAGAGACAAAAUAGGUGUAAAAUAAAGAUAAUUUAGAGCGUCAAGUCAACUGAAUUAAAGACAAAAAAGAGUGCAGCAAACUACAUUCGUAUUGUGAUUUGGUUUGAUUAUAUUUCAUUAAAUGUUUUUUCAUUUAUUAUUUGCAGGAGAAAUAGGAUUACGAAGAAGAGAAGCUUUGUCAUAAUUUUUUAUAGCAUGAAAUGAAUACAAUUUCUCAUAUAUUAAGAUUCAUUUUUUCAGGACAUAUGGUUGGUAAUAUUCAUGAAAACUAGCAGAACUCCAGUACAUUUGAAGUGUUAGUCAAGUAUACUUUAGAAGAGGCAAGCAAAGUCUGGAAAAUGCCCUAAAUGGUACCCGAAAAGUGCCAAAAAUGGUACUCAGAGUGUACCUAAAAUGGUACUUAUGCUGUACCCGGAAAGUACCUAAAAUGUACCCAGUUUGUACUCAAAAUGGCAUCCGGGGUUUUGUACCUAAAAUUGUACCCUUAAAGUACCUAUAAUGUACUCAGUUUGUACCUAAAAACUGUCUAAUUUGGUAAUCAGAUUUUACCAAUAAUGUACCCGAGUAGUACCUAAAAUAGUACUGGAAUUGUACCUAAGAUGUACCCAAAAAGUUUCUGAAAUGGUACCUGGAUUGAAUCAAUAAUGUACCCUGAAAAUGUAUCAAAGAAAUGUACCCAAAAGGUACCCCAAAAUGGGAACAAUGUUGACAAAAUUGUACCUAAAAGGUACCCCUAAAUUAGAAACUUUCAAAGUUUAAAUAAUAAUGUACCCAAAAGGUACCCCAAAAAUUAAAACCUUAAAAAGUUGUAUGGGAAAGAAAAAUGUGCCCAAAAAAGUACCUACCUGCAGGUAAAAAAAAAUUAAAGUGCGGUUCCAAAUAGAGUAGUGUUUCGGGUACCUUUUGGAUACAUUCCGGGUACCUUUGGGUACAUUCUGGGUACUUUUUACAGUACCCAAUGUGUACAACAAAAGUACCCAAAGUGUACUCCAAGCAUUAAAAAUAGAAAGUUGUAUGGGAAAGAAUAAUGUACCCCAAAAAGUACCCGCCUGCAGGUAAAUUUUUUUCUUAAAGGUCAACUGAAACGAUUUUCAAAGUUCGUUUUUCAAAUAAAUUCAGUAAGAAAAUACCAUUCCUUAAAUGUUUUCGCAUAAGAAUAAUUUUUGUUUCGAUCAUCCAGGUAGAUACGACAUCGUUAAUUUCAACCCGGUAAAUUUUAUUGUAUGAUUUAUCUGCCCUUUAGGCGAACCUGAUAUUUCAAUAUGGCGGCACGAUAUGAAAAUGAUUCGGAAGAUUGUAUUCCUGAAAUAGAUAUAUCGCUUAGUGUUAAUGUGCAGCCCUGCCAGUACGAACCAGUUGUACAGCGAGACACAUCCCCACUAGUGCAAAACGAUAGCGAUUCAGAAAACAGCGAGGAUCAAUCGGACGAAUGUCCUUCACCUCUUCACCAUCUGAUAUGCUUGCAAUGGUGAUCAUAUAGGCUAGUAAUUUCAUCGCAAUGCCCUCAAGAAGGGAGUCCAAAUGUUGCCGUGCAUAGGAUUGAAGAAGUGGGCGUGUCCUGCAUCACAGAUCACGAGGGUUUUGUUGUGGCAAACUGUCUCAAUGGAUAGGUUUUAGGAACAGCUUAUUAUGAGUACAUACAAAAUAAUGGUCCCUUGGAAGAAGGGGAAUUGAUUUACAAAUUUUACAGACAUCAUGCAGAUUGGAGAUCUGGUAAUGGCUUAAUUGAGAAAAACAAUCCGAAAGUUCUUCUAUCCUAGUGUUGUGACUAUGAUAAGAAAUCAUUCCAUCACGACAGUACUGUGGAUUUAAAUACCCUUUGAUAUUAAUUUAAAUGUGUUAUAAAUUUUUAAUGCAUUUCUCAUAAGUGAUACAUAAAUAAAUAUAAACAAGUAAACAUAGUUUGAUGUUCAGUUUUUAUAUUGUACAUAAUAUAUAAUCAUCAAUUUACAUAAACUAUGUAAUUUGGGUUAAACCCAAAAGGUCUACAGGCCCCAGUCACCUGAGUUUGACACAUGUUGGUAGGAAUUUGUGAUCAGGGCAGGAGAAUUACCAACAACAUCCACUACGUAACUUCCUGGAAUUUCUGUAGGUACCAAACUGAUCAAUUCCAUAGCUUAAUCUGAAUUACAAUUUCAUAUGUCUGAUGAUUUUUAUUAAAAUGAUAACAAAACGUUACAAUUCAAUAAACAUGUACUUUUUGUCUAGUAUUAUGACUAUCCACUCACAUUCAUACUAAUUAUAUGGGUCAAUUUAGAAAAUGUAGAUAUUUGAGGUGAAGAAAAAAAAAAAAAUUCCAAUGUCGCAGAAAAUUAAUUUUCAUAUUGAUGAAGCACUGUAAAAUAAAUGUCUAUACUAUUUAAUACCAAUGUUCUUUAAUAUUUUCUUCAUUGAAAUUGCUAAUUUAUUCAUUCAAAUAAUUUAAUGCAAAUUAGUAGAAAAAAACGCAAAUAAGUAUGCCAAAUUGACCUACAUGUAAAAUUUAUACAUAUAUUCGGUUUCUUUUUCCAACAACUGAAUUUAUUUAGUGAUACAAGUUUAAUUUUUCAUCUCAUAAUUGUAAGAAUAUUAUCAAAAAUACGGUUGUAAGAAAUAUUCAUUUAUUAAUUUCACUAUUUAUCUAUUAAGUAAAU